UACGUAGGCAGCGAGCGUUUGUUCGGAGUUACUGGGCGUAAAGGGUGUGUAGGCGGUUUUCUAAGUUUGGUGUGAAAUCCUCCGCUUAACCGGGAGGGUGCGCCGAAAACUGGGAGACUAGAGUGCGGGAUGGGAGAGUAGAAUUCCUGGUGUAGCGGUGAAAUGCGUAGAUAUCAGGAGGAACACCGGUGGUGUAGACGGCUUUCUGGACCGUAACUGACGCUGAGACACGAAAGCGUGGGUAGCAAACAGG
rnacentral:rRNA from 1 species